rnacentral:rRNA from 1 species
CAGCACCUCAAGUGGUCAAGAUGAUUAUUGGGCCUAAAGCAUCCGUAGCCGGCGCUGUAAGUUUUCGGUUAAAUCUGUACGCUCAACGUACAGGCUGCCGGGAAUACUGCAGCGCUAGGGAGUGGGAGAGGUAGACGGUACUCGGUAGGAAGGGGUAAAAUCCUUUGAUCUAUUGAUGACCACCUGUGGCGAAGGCGGUCUACCAGAACACGUCCGACGGUGAGGGAUGAAAGCUGGGGGAGCAAACCGGAUUAGAUACCCGUGUAGUCC